UUCCAGACUCCUACGGGAGGCAGCAGUGGGGAAUAUUGCACAAUGGGGGAAACCCUGAUGCAGCGACGCCGCGUGAGUGAAGAAGUAUUUCGGUAUGUAAAGCUCUAUCAGCAGGGAAGAAAAUGACGGUACCUGAUUAAGAAGCCCCGGCUAACUACGUGCCAGCAGCCGCGGUAAUACGUAGGGGGCAAGCGUUAUCCGGAUUUACUGGGUGUAAAGGGAGCGUAGACGGUGAUGCAAGUCAGAAGUGAAAGCCCGGGGCUCAACUCCGGGACUGCUUUUGAAACUGUGUGACUGGAGUGCAGGAGAGGUAAGCGGAAUUCCUGGUGUAGCGGUGAAAUGCGUAGAUAUCAGGAGGAACACCAGUGGCGAAGGCGGCUUACUGGACUGUAACUGACGUUGAGGCUCGAAAGCGUGGGGAGCAAACAGGAUUAGAUACCCCGGUAA
rnacentral:rRNA from 1 species